AACGAACGCUGGCGGCGUGCCUAACACAUGCAAGUCGAACGAGACCUUCGGGUCUAGUGGCGCACGGGUGCGUAACGCGUGGGAACCUGCCCUUAGGUUCGGAAUAACUCCCCGAAAGGGGUGCUAAUACCGGAUAAUGUCUUCGGACCAAAGAUUUAUCGCCUUUGGAUGGGCCCGCGUUGGAUUAGCUAGUUGGUAGGGUAAAAGCCUACCAAGGCGACGAUCCAUAGCUGGUCUGAGAGGAUGAUCAGCCACACUGGGACUGAGACACGGCCCAGACUCCUACGGGAGGCAGCAGUGGGGAAUAUUGGACAAUGGGCGAAAGCCUGAUCCAGCAAUGCCGCGUGAGUGAUGAGGGCCUUAGGGUUGUAAAGCUCUUUUACCCGGGAUGAUAAUGACAGUACCGGGAGAAUAAGCUCCGGCUAACUCCGUG
rnacentral:rRNA from 1 species